rnacentral:rRNA from 1 species
CCUACGGGUAGCAGCAGUGAGGAAUAUUGGUCAAUGGGCGCGAGCCUGAACCAGCCAAGUCGCGUGAGGGAGGACGGCCCUACGGGUUGUAAACCUCUUUUGCCGGGGAGCAACGGGCGUCACGUGUGGCGCCCCUGAGAGUCCCCGGGGACAAGGCAUCGGCUAACUCCGUGCCAGCAGCCGCGUUAAUACGGAGGGUGCGAGCGUUCAUGGGAAUUACUGGGCGUAAAGCGCUCGUAGGCGGGAUGUCAAGUCAAGGGUGAACUCCCCGCGCUCAACGUGGGAACUGCCUUUGAAACUGGCAAACUGGAGUGUGUGAGAGGAGAGCGGAAUUCCAGGUGUAGGAGUGAAAUCCGUAGAUAUCUGGCGGAACAUCAGUGGCGAAGGCGACUAUCUGGCACAUAACUGACGCUGAGGAGCGAAAGCGUGGGUAGCAAACAGGAUUAGAUACCCCAGUAGUC